GUAGGUGGCAAGCGUUGUCCGGAAUUAUUGGGCGUAAAGGGCUCGCAGGCGGUUUCUUAAGUCUGAUGUGAAAGCCCCCGGCUCAACCGGGGAGGGUCAUUGGAAACUGGGGAACUUGAGUGCAGAAGAGGAGAGUGGAAUUCCACGUGUAGCGGUGAAAUGCGUAGAGAUGUGGAGGAACACCAGUGGCGAAGGCGACUCUCUGGUCUGUAACUGACGCUGAGGAGCGAAAGCGUGGGGAGCGAACAGGGAUUAGAUACCCUGGUAGUCCACGCCGUAAACGAUGAGUGCUAAGUGUUAGGGGGUUUCCCGCCCCCUUAGUGCUGCAGCUAACGCAUUAAGCACUCCGCCUGGGGAGUACGGUCGCAAGACUG
rnacentral:rRNA from 1 species